CAUUAACCAUUUCCUCAGCCAGGCCAGCUCCAUGGCAGCCUGGUGGGGGUUCGCUUGCCCUGAGGCUGACACCCCCUCCCCCUGCAGCUCCUGGGGCCACCUGGAGAGGAGACGCCCCCUGAUGGAGAGUGGUGGGGGGAGGGACCAGCUUCCUUAGGACCCUGGGCGAGUCACUUCCCUUCUCUGAGCCCGUUUCCUCAUUUGCAGAUUGGGGCGAGGACCCCAGCCCUGCCCAUAGGCAGAUCGAAGCCAGGUCAGGAAAUGGGCAGAGAGCCCCUCACCAUCUGUAAAGCGCCCAAUGGAUGGACUUGAAGUCGCCGGAGCCUCUGAGCCAAGCCCCCUGUCUGGAGCCCAUCGGAGUCCUGGCCGGCGGGGGAGAUGGGGGCAGGAAGAAAGGCCGAGACCCUCUGCCGCUUUCUGGGAAUUUCCAUCCUGAUUUCCAGAGGUUCCAGGCCGACCCCGAGGUGUAGGGGGAAGCUGGGGACCCCUGUCUUGUGCCCUGGCUGCCUCCACUGAGGACUCGUCCAGCGGCGGUGGCCUAACAGCCGACCUGCUGCCGCGGGCUGGACUGUCCCACGCUCGUCUUCACCCCUGGUGGGUCUGUGGUCACCCGAGCCGGGUCAGUGGAGACGGAGGACCUGCCAGCCCCGGACGCCGAAGUCACCAGCAGACUCAGAAAACCCUUCUCCUCUGCCUCCCACCCCAGUUUUAGUUUCCAUUUAUUCAUUCAUUCUGUCACUUAGGAACAUUUGAGGAGCCCCGUGUGAUGGGCCCAUUUUCACCCCUUCUAAUCCUCUCUAUAGCUUUGUAGGGUGGUGGGGGUUAUUAUCCCCAUGUGCCUGGGGGAAACUGAGGCUCGGAGGGUUGCAGUGUCCUUGCCAAGGCUACGUGGCCGACACGGGGUGGGGAGCAGACCCAGAGGCUCUGGCUCCAGGGCCUAAGGUGCCUCUUCCUGGGCCUGUGCCCCUCCCAUCAGCCCCAAGACCCCCAGCUCCCCCUACCCAAUUUCCAGACAGUUGUGCACACUCAGCUGCCAUACCCUUGGCCUCCCCCUGCUACCCGCCCACUGCUGGGGGUCGCAAAAGCAGGAUUCCCAAUGCUUCCAGCCUGGAGCUCCAUUAAGCACAUUUUUAGGAAUAAGAUUGGAAAAAGAGGAAGGGAACGGAUGCUGAGAAUCCUGGAACUUGGGAGGCUGGACUUUGAUCUCCAGGCAACGGGGAGCCAUGGAAGAUUCUUGAGCUGAGGUGGGGGUGGUUGGUGUGUGGGUCUGGUUCUGUGUAAUGGACAAACUCCUCUCGGACAUCUGUUCCCUUCUGGGGGAAAGGGACCCGAAUCAGCGCUGGAGUGAGGCUUGAACAAGCCAGGGGACCCGAGACCGUGGUCACCCAGAGUGCGAUGAAGCAAUGUCGGCUCCUUCUCCAGGUCGUGGGGUCAGGCUGUGUCCGGACAUCAGGAUCCGAGGGUCUGUGUCACUGUGGACAAAGGUCUCAUUUCACAGGCUGGAAGGGACGCCACGGACUGGCCACGGUACAGCCCUCCCCUCUGCCGGGCACCGGACAACGCACAGUAGGCCUGGGAGACGGGCUUGUCAAGGCAAAUGUCCUCGCGGACAUUAAAAACUGGCCAAACCGGUUGCAGAGACCAGCUUGCCAAUCCCCAGCUUCUG